rnacentral:lncRNA from 1 species
UUAUUUUCAAACUAUUUACAAUUGUGCCACAACACUCUAAUUAUGUUAAUGAAUUUAAUUAUCCACCAUAAUUGUGAGAAAUAAGUGCCUUAUUAUUAUAAAAUUAUCUACUUUAUACUUCUCUUACCAUCAUAUAUUUCGUUUCUUUUAUUUGUUUGACAAUCAUUGUAGGUAAAUUAUUUUGCAUGUAUGUAUUAGACACAUUUUGUUAAAAUUAUAUAUAUGCGUACAAAUAAUUUAUCUAUAUUUUUAUGUAAAAUAAUGUGUAAUUAAUUAAUUUGAAUCAAUUGGCAAAAAACAUUUAUUUAUUUUGUAGGUAAAUUAUUUUUCAUGUGAUAUUACAUAUGUACUAGCCACAUUUUGUUAUUAUUAUACAGAGUGUGCAAUCAAUCGACAUUCUUUUAUUUUGUAGGUAAAUUAUUUUGCAUGUAGGUAAACUGUUUUAUAUAUAUUUUUUUUUUGCAAAAUAUUGGUAUUUAAUUAAUUUUGAAUAAAAAAUAUUUAUUUAUUUUGUAGGUAAAUUAUUUUACAUAUAUCAUUACAUAAUUUACUAGGAACUUAUAUUGUUAUAUAUAUGUUGUGCAAAAUAAUUUACCCAUGUUACAUUUAAAAUAUUGAUAAUUUUGAAUAAAUUAACUUUUUUUUAUAUUUGUUGGAUAUACUAAUUUACCUGUUAGCAUCAUGUGAAAACAACUAUAUAAGGAACAUUGGUAUCAUGUAAAUAUUUGAACAUUUAAUUGAAUGAAAUAAUGUAAAAUAAAUGGAGAUAGUAAGUGAGAGGCCCAAAGUAAGUGUUACUAGGGGUAAUUUAGACAUUCAAAAAUACAAAUUUUGCCAAGUCAAACUUAAUUAUGGAUAUUGCUUAGUUGGAGACUAGUCAUUGGGUUUUUGUUAGAGAAAUUUAUCAUGAUGAGUUUUAAUUAAAGAAAAUUGAAUUUCAAGGGAUGUACUCAUAUUUUCAGAAAUUUUUAUUAUCGCAUAUUUGAUCAAGUUGAAAACAACAUCAAUGUUGAUUAGUAGGAUCCGUCAGACCGUGUCUGAAUAUUCAACGUACUGUCCCUACAAAUUCAUCUUCACCUUUCUUUCUCUCAAUUAAUUGUUGUCAUCUUCAAAUUAAUUAUAACAAUGUGUAUAGAUUGAAGAGAGAGCUUGGUGACAUGGUCUUGAUUUCAUGUAAAUUUAUUGCGGUUUUUCUUUUGUGUGGUAUUGAUGGUAGUCCAGUACAACUGCUAUAAAGAAUAAGCGGGCGAGUCACAGUGGGAAUCAAAUUUGACAUCUAAAACAUCCGUAUGACUGAAUGAUGCGUAGAAUUAAAGCCAUACUCUGAAUUUAGAUUCAGAAGUUUCUAAUAAGCAUCAAAUUUGAACAACUUAUGUUUAUUUUUUAUGAAGUAAAUUUGAACGACUUAAUAAUUAAAUAAAAUAGUAGAUUUCAAUAAUCGUAUGGCACCGUCGUUAGACCUCACAUUCGUAUCGUGUUUUUCGUGUUCAUGUCAUUUUUGUGACAUACCCAAUAUAUUAACAGGUCAUGUCGUGUAACACCCAUUAAAGUAAACGGGUAAUAUGACCCAACCCAAAAUCAACCUAUAUUAAUAUUAUUAGGUAAUAUGAUCCAACAUGUUACCCAUUAAAGAAAUAUAUUUUAAACCAAUAAAUAAUUAAAAACAUAAUUUCAUCCAAAAAAAUGGAAAACAUAAUACUAAAUUAGUAUAUGCAUACCUCUUGUCACAUAAAAAGCAUUAGUAGAUUAUUACAAAAUAUCAAAUGUUCAACGAUAUGCAAAAUGAAGGGAGUUGCGUUUCAUGAGGGUUUGAAUGGUUUUAAAAAUUCAA